rnacentral:tRNA from 1 species
GGAGGUAUAGCUCAGUGGUACAGAGUGUGCUUAGCAUGCACAGGGUCCUGAGUUCAAUCUCCAGUACCUCCA